rnacentral:lncRNA from 1 species
ACGUCGGGUUGCAAACUUCAAUCUGAUUGACGAUGGCGAUCUGACCUUGACCAUCGCACCAAACAAACACCGAUCCUUUGAUUCAAAGGUACAAUAUCGAAGACGCAGUGAGACAAAGAAAGCGUUUUUCUUCGAUCCAUAAACAACAAAAUGACUUUCAAAUUGUUUUGCAGGACCAAAACGUCGGACGGGGGUGAGUCAAUUGCAAACGUUCCGAGCUGCGAGGUGAUCUCCCUGUCAAAUGAGAUGUGCGUUUCGAUACGGGGGAUGAAACACGGGGAAGGGUACAGAGCUGGGUAAGGACUGAGAAAUUUCAGGAGAGGGAUCGUCUGUUUGUCGAUUGUUGUUAAAAUAAAGAUAUAUAUAUAUAUAUUGCAAAACCUUUCUAUCUCCCCCAUUUCUCAAUUUGUUGGUUGAAAAAGGAUAAGCAUUAUCCAUCUAAGUCCUUAAAUUAAGAAUUGCUAAUCCAAUCCCCAUAACAAACCCAACACUUCAACCGCUGUUCCUAAACUACAAGAUAAACGAUGAGCAGCAUCAAUCUAAAAUCAAAAUCCAACACUUUGCGACGGCUGCGCCUUGGCUGUUGUUGCAACGUGAAUGGGAUAAAGGAGGGAAAACACAAGAAUGAAGAAGAUGAGAGAGAGAGACAGAGAGACAGAGAGAUAGAGAGAGAGAGAGAGAGAGAUUUAUUAAUUUUUAGGCAUUAAAAAUUAUUUUUUUAAAAUUUCUUAAUUAUCUCUACUAAUUAAUGAAAUCCUCUUUGUCAACCAAAAAAUGGUGAAAAGACAAAUUAGUCUUUUAUCACACAAAAAACUGAUGGGAAAUAAUGCAAUUUUACAGAUCCAAAUUUUACUGUUUUUUAUUGAAG